CUGGCCCUGGGCUCCUGCUGAAACGAGACACUGGACAGCCCCACCUCACUCAACCUGUUUAUCCUGUUGCAGGGACCUGAGGACGGGGAACCAGCGGCUCCCUCUCACCUGCAGCUCUCUCUUCGGGCAUUUCUGAGCUCUCUGCAUGAGGGAUUGCUGUGUGUGUGAACCCUGAGCUCCCUGGGACCAGGCCGGGUGAAACAGAGAGGAGGGAGGUCAGCGGAUGGCCCUGGGCAGCCCAGCAUCGUCCUGCGCUGGGAUCCCCAGGCAGAGCCACAGCGAAGCCCCGAGCGAGGCUUUCACCUCUGCGGCGAGGAUCAAUGAGUGGAAGGGAACCCAAGGUCCAGAAGUCUUACAGAAAAUAGUUUUAAAGUUGUUCAAAGAAAGGUGGAAAAGCUGA
rnacentral:lncRNA from 1 species